CACCAGGACAUGCUGAGUACCCUCCAGGAUGAAAUAAAGUGAAAUAAUUUGAAGUAAAUCAUCUGUUGACUAGCAUGUAGGUUAGUAGUUAUUGUCUGGGUCACAACGACCUAGGUGUACUUAAGAAAAGGAAGAUGAGAAGACUGUUAGAAGUAAAAAUAUCACCAGUUCAGGUCCAUCUAAAGAUGUAACUAACAUGAGGUAACUGUGGCCGUGAAUGUGUCCAACUGACACCGCCCAAAACUCUGUAUAAGAAGAGAGUCGUAUGAAACUUAGAUUCAGUUGUCUAUUCGACUGACUAUCGCUGGUGGUCAGUUGAUGUUGUC